CCAAUAGCGUAUAUUAAAGUUGUUGCAGUUAAAAAGCUCGUAGUUGAAUUUCGGGAUCAAUAUAUCGGUCGUGCCUUGGUACGUACUGGUAUCAUUGGUUUCUCCUUUCUGACGAACCAUGAUGUCAUUAAUUUGGUGUUAGGGGAAGUUAGGACGGUUACUUUGAAAAAAUUAGAGUGUUUAAAGCAGGCUUUAGCUUGAAUACAUUAGCAUGGAAUAAUGAAAUAGGACGUUCGAACCUCUUUUGUUGGUUUCUAGGAUCAACGUAAUGAUUAAUAGGGGUAGUUGGGGGCAUUAGUAUUCAAUUGUCAGAGGUGAAAUUCUUGGAUUUAUUGAAGACUAACUACUGCGAAAGCAUUUGCCAAGGAUGUUUUCAUUAAUCAAGAACGAAAGUUAGGGGAUCGAAGACGAUCAGAUACCGUCGUAGUCUUAACCAUAAACUAUGCCGACUAGGGAUCGGAUGAUGUUAAUUUUUUAAUGACUCAUUCGGCGCCUUACG
rnacentral:rRNA from 1 species